GUCCCCUUCGUCUAGAGGCCUAGGACACAUCCCUUUCACGGAUGCGACACGGGUUCGACUCCCGUAGGGGACGCCA
rnacentral:tRNA from 1 species